rnacentral:lncRNA from 1 species
GCCUGUACUCAGAGUAAAUUUUGAGGUGAAAAUACGGCCAUUUCAGCCAUAGAGUCCACAUGAACCUUAAUAUUCAUCAAGAUCAUUCGAUUAUUGUCAUUGCAUGUAUAUAGAAAUAUGGUUGGUUGGUACCUACAUAUAUAUAUAAAUGUCCGCUGUACCAAUGAUACACGGUGGAUACCAACGCCAUCUUACGUAUUCACAGUUUGUCUCAGUUUUGCUGUUGAAAGUUUCUGGUUAUCUAUGAUAGCCUUUCCAGACAAUAAGUAAAAGGAAAAAAAUUGUAAAGCUUGUUAGGGCAAUAUCUCCAACAAGACAUUGUCCUAACAGCUUUUACGUAAAAAGAUAAUAGGAAGAGCUCACCAUUCUAAACAUUUUUGCCAUGGUUAACUUUAUUAUACCAGUUUUCAAAAUAAUACAUACAACUUACAACUUAACCCUAUGCUAAAUUUUAAGCCGUGUCGGCCAUCUUGGUUGACAGGCGGGGUCAUCGGACACAUUUUUCAAACUAGAUACAUGAACUAAAAUUAGGAUUGAGGCCAUCUGUGGUUUUAUUUGGCUCUGUAGUUUUAGAGGUGAUGAUCUUUUUAAAUUUUAACGAACGACAGCAAUGACAGACGGACGCCAAGCGAGCGGAAAAGCUAACUUUACCUUUUGGACCGGGCGAGCUAAAAAAAAUAUAUAUUUGAAGGACAACUUCUAAACAUGUUUAUGCCUUAAUGGUAUAUGUAAUGAAUGUGAUGAGUUUUCAAAUCCUUUUCCUCGGCCGAUAGUUGUCUUAUUUACAAUUAUACCUUAUCUUCUCGUUUGUUUAUGAUGAAGAUGGCAAAUGAAUGUUGUAUUAUGAGUUCAAACGUCUAUGAGACAUCUACAUGUAUCUGAUGCAGAAAACAAAUGACUUGUUUUUGGAGUUACUUUAGAUUUACUACAGCAUGGCCUUAAAUGAGCAAAAUCCUUAUGGUAUAGUCAGAUAUAAAAGUACGGUAGCAGAAUGCGGCCAUGAAAAAAAAAAAUUAUGUUGUUCCCUCAAGAUACUAUGUCGUUCCCUCAAGAUGCUAUGUCGUUCCCACAAGAUAGUUAUCUCGUUCCCUCAAGAUACUAUGUCGUUCCCUCAAGAUACUAUGUCGUUCCCUCAAAAUAGUUAUCUCGUUUCCUCAAGAUAGUUAUCUCGUUCCCUCAAGAUACUAUGUCGUUCCCUCAAGAUGUUAUGUUGUUCCCUCAAGAUAGUUAUAUCGUUCCCUCAAGAUGCUAUGUCGUUCCUUCAAUAUACUAUGUCGUUCCCUCAAGAUGUUAUGUUGUUCCCUCAAGAUAGUUAUCUCGUUCCCUCAAGAUAGUAUGUCGUUCCCUCAAGAUAGUUAUCUCGUUCCCUCAAGAUACUAUGUCGUUCCCUCAAGAUGUUAUGUUGUUCCCUCAAGAUAGUUAUCUCGUUCCCUCAAGAUACUAUGUCGUUCCCUCAAGAUAUUAUGUUGUUCCCUCAAGAUGCUAUGUCGUUCCCUCAAGAUACUAUGUUGUUCCGUCAAGAUAGUUAUCUCGUUCCCUCAAGAUUUUAAAAUUGUAUUGAUAUAUGAUUCAUUUCGCCCUUCGAAGCGGAACUGUAGACGUGGCCAGAUCCCAAAAGUAGAAUAUUUGCAUAAUAAUAAUGAUAUAAUAAUUCUGUAUUUAAAGAGAAUAACUGAGAGGGGAUAGGAGGGGUCCUGAUCCAGAAAUCCCGAGCUUAAAAACACCCGAUCCCGGAGUCCCAGUAAAGGUAGCACUCCACAGUUAGAUGUGUAGUUUCGCAUUUUGGCCCCUGAGGAUUUUUCAAAUAUAAGAGCUAGUGUGCAAUAAAAUUCAUUUUUGGAUAGCUGAGUAUUAAAAUAGCCUUCGUAUUGGGUUUAUAUGAACAUCAAGAUCAUACAAUGUAUGUAAUAUAGGCUGUUUUCUGUAUGACAGUCCGUAUUUGUAUGUCCAUACCAUACAUUGGUCCGGCAAUUUUUGUAAUGUUUUUUCCAACUUUUUGUCGCACGAACUUUGUGAUUAGAUUUUACGAAAAAAUUAGGCGAAAGACACCCAUUUUUUAUUUGAUCAUUAGGAAGAUUUAUGAAAACAGUGUCUAAAAAGGUAUCACUCAAAAGCAUUGAAAUUCUAGUUUGAUCCAAAUUUGGGGGGGGGAUAUGUGACCUGCAUGUUUACACCCUUUUUGCAAUAUUUUAUGGUAAAUAAAUGCAGAAUGUUGCCAUGGAUACACAGAAAAGGAAUUAUUUUUCACCCUUUUAACAUUUGAAAAUUAAAUCUAAGGAAGAUACUGAUUACAUACAUAUGCACAUGUACAACACAAACAGUUAGGUUAAUGUAUUAGAAAUCCAGGAAUAGGAGAUGAUAAAACAUUUUGUGGCUCAUUUUUAAUUUUAUUUUCUAAGAGGGUGGUAAAGGGUUAUUUUCGUGCAACGUUUUCGGCCUUUUCAUUUUACGUGUUUUCUUGAUUUGGUGUUUUAUUUCUCGUUUUCUCGUGUUUGGUUCGAUGUGCGUGCUUCGUAUUUCCCCUUAUUUAUUUUCCGUGUUUCGUGUCGUUGGUCUUAAUUUCUCGUUCUUGCAUUGUUCCGCAUUUGAUUAAAAAGUGAAUUUAAAGUAACUCCAUGUCUUACUCCACCGUUUCGAAGUUGGAAAUAAAGAAUAAAUCAAUAUAAUUGUAUUGCUAUGUUGAGGGAACGAGAUAACUAUCUUGAGGGAACGACAUAGUAUCUUGAGGGAACGAGAUAACUAUCUUGAGGGAACGACAUAGUAUCUUGAGGGAACGAAAUAACUAUCU